rnacentral:rRNA from 1 species
UAAGACGUAGGGAGCGAGCGUUGUCCGGAUUUACUGGGCGUAAAGAGCACGUAGGCGGUCUGUUAAGUGAGAAGUGAAAUCUCCAGCGCUCAACGCGGAAACGGCUUUUCAUACUGGCAGACUUGAGGGAUGCAGAGGCAAGUAGAAUUCCUGGUGUACCGGUGACAUGGGUUGAUAUCAGGAGGAAUACCAAUGGCGAAGGCAGCUUGCUGGGCAUCAUCUGACGCUGAGGUGCGAAAGCGUGGGUAGCAAACAGG